CCAUAUCACAAUUAAACAUCAGUUCUCAUAUGAACACUGAAGUUAAAUAACAUUGAACUUAGUCAAUACCAGGAUGGCUGACCACCUGGGAAUACCAGGUGCUGUAAG